GAUGAACGCUGGCGGCGUGCCUAAUACAUGCAAGUCGAGCGAACAGAUGAGGAGCUUGCUCCUCUGACGUUAGCGGCGGACGGGUGAGUAACACGUGGAUAACCUACCUAUAAGACUGGGAUAACUUCGGGAAACCGGAGCUACUACCGGCUAAUAUAUCGAACCGCAUGGUGCAAUAGUGAAAGACGGUUUUCCUGUCACUUAUAGAUGGAUCCGCGCCGCAUUAGCUAGUUGGUAAGGUAACGGCUUACCAAGGCAACGAUGCGUAGCCGACCUGAGAGGGUGAUCGGCCACACUGGAACUGAGACACGGUCCAGACUCCUACGGGAGGCAGCAGUAGGGAAUCUUCCGCAAUGGGCGAAAGCCUGACGGAGCAACGCCGCGUGAGUGAUGAAGGUCUUCGGAUCGUAAAACUCUGUUAUUAGGGAAGAAAAAAUGUGUAGGUAACUAUGCACGUCUUGACGGUACCUAAUCAGAAAGCCACGGCUAACUACGUG
rnacentral:rRNA from 1 species